GAUGAACGCUGGCGGCGUGCCUAAUACAUGCAAGUCGAGCGAACAGACGAGGAGCUUGCUCCUCUGACGUUAGCGGCGGACGGGUGAGUAACACGUGUAUCACCUACCUAUCAGACUGGUAUAACUUCGGAAAACCGGCGCUAAUCCCGGAUAACAUGCUGAACCACAGGGGUCAACAGUGAAAGACGGUCUUGCUGUCACUUAUAGAUGCAUCUGCGCCGCAUGAGCUAGUUGGUAGGGUACCAGCUUACCAAGGCAACGAUGCGUAGCCGACGUGAUAGGGGGAUAGGCCACACUGGAACGGAGACACGGUCCAGACUCCUAAGGGAGGCAGCAGUAGGGAAUGGUCCGCAGUGGGCGAAAGCAUGACGGAGCAACGCCGAGUGAGUGAAGGAGGUCUUCGGAUCGGAAAACUCUGUUAUUAGGGAAGAACAAAUGUGGAAGUAACCAUGCACGGCGUGACGGUACCUAGUCAGAAAGCCACGGCUAACUACGUG
rnacentral:rRNA from 1 species